rnacentral:rRNA from 1 species
CUUCGGGUUGUAAACCUCGGAAAUUAUCGAAGAAUGAGUGACAGUAGAUAAUGUAAGCCUCGGCUAACUACGUGCCAGCAGCCGCGGUAAUACGUAGGAGGCAAACGUUGCUCGGAUUUACUGGGCGUAAAGGGUGAGUAGGCGGACUUAUAAGUCUAAGGUGAAAGACCGAAGCUCAACUUCGGGAACGCCUCGGAUACUGUAAGUCUUGGAUAUUGUAGGGGAUGAUGGAAUUCUCGGUGUAGCGGUGGAAUGUGCAGAUAUCGAGAGGAAUACCUAUAGCGAAGGCAGUCAUCUGGGCAUUUAUCGACGCUGAAUCACGAAAGCUAGGGGAGCAAACAGGCUUAGAUACCCUGGUAGUCCUAGCCGUAAACGUUGUACACUAGGUGCUUCUAUAUAAAUAGGAGUGCCGUAGCUAACGUCUUAAGUGUACCGCCUGAGGAGUAUGCCCGCAAGGGUGAAACUCAAAGAAAUUGACG